GCUGGGCGUGGUGGUGCAUGCCUGUAAUCCCAGCUACUCAGGAGGCUGAGGCAGGAGAAUCGCUUGAACCCGGGAGAUGGAGGUGGCAGUGAGCAGAGAUCUUGCCAUUGCACUCCAGCCUGGGUGACAGUGUGAGACUCUGUCUCCA
ensembl:misc_RNA Metazoa_SRP Metazoan signal recognition particle RNA